AACAUCGCGCACCUGCGGGAACCUGCGGAAGGAUCAUUACGAGAGUGUCACCACUCCCAACCCAUUGUUUACCUACCCGUCCACCGUGCUUCGGCAGGCAGCCCUGUGGGACAGAGCCUCGCCCCCUUUCGCGGGGGGUGCCUGCCGCUUGCCAACCAAAACUCUAGCUGUUUUAGUACCAUCUGAGUCUUCCACAAAUGAACAAAACUUUCAGCAACGGAUCUCAGAUCGGAAGAGCAC
rnacentral:misc_RNA from 1 species